UCCGCCGCGAGUCGCGAGCCGUGGGGAUCCAUCCCACUCCAACUCCAGGCCAUCCCCUCCGCCUCAGACCUCGGUGCAAACCUGCCGCGAAAAUAGCAGCCGCCCGUUCGCUCUCUCCCCCUCCUCCCGCGAUGACCGACCCGCGGGGCGGCGCUGCCGAUCCCAUCUGCGACGGGGCCGACCCGCACGACCUCCCACUCGCCGAGGACGCUAACGGCGAGGAAGCGCGGCAGGCGUCCGAUAAAGAGGCGGUUCCCGUGUCUGAAGGGACGGCCGCACGGGGUGGGGACACGACCCCGGACGCCGAGCCGGAGAGCGACGACGGAGAGGGAGGAGUGGGCUCCCCGGAUCAGGCGGAGCCCAAUGCGGGCGAGGACCGCGCAGCGCCCGUGGCUGCGGCAGAGGAGCGGGAGGGGAUCGUUGGCGCCGCCAAGGUGGAGACGAACGGCGAGGACGCCAUCAGCCACGACGCCGACGGGGAGGAGGAGGAUGACGACGACGGAGACGAGGAGGACGACGACGAUUCCACCCCGGAUGCGUCGCCGAGGGCCGAGGUGAAGGUGGAGGGCGAGAGCUCCACCGGGAUGGCCCAGAGUGGCGCCAGCCACCGCGUGGAGCCGGAGCCUGACCCCUUCCUCGACGGCGAUGACUCUGGGACGGAGGAGGAGCAGGCCGCGUUCAUGGCGGAGCUGGAACGCUUCCAUAGGGAGCACAGCCUCGAGUUCAAGCCGCCCAAGUUCUACGGCAAGGGCCUCAACUGCCUCAAGUUGUGGAGGCAAGUCGCACACCUCGGAGGCCACGAGCAGGUAACCGUUUGUAAACUAUGGCGUCAAGUUGGAGAGACUUUCAGGCCGCCGAAGACCUGCACUACUGUUUCUUGGUCAUUUCGAAUUUUCUACGAGAAGGCACUUCUUGAAUACGAAAAAUACAAAGUUCGGACUGGUCAGCUUCAGAUACCACCCCCUGGUUUACCACAGCCUAGUGGUACUGACCGCGAGGUGACUGUGAAUCAAUCAUCUUCCGCCAGAGUUAGAAGGGAUGCUGCAGCGCGUGCUAUGCAGGGUUGGCAUGCUCACCGCCUUCUUGCCAAUGGUACUUAUGGAGACAUUUUGAAGGACAAAGAUUCAAUGCCACUUUCAAGUCGUGAUAAAAACCUAAAAGGCUUUGGGGUGCUCAAGAGAAAGAAAGCAUCUAGUCCGGAGUAUGCUCUCAAGUCAUCCCGCACGAAACUAAAUAAGUCACAGGAAGAUUCUAUGGUCAUUGACGUUGGAGAACCAGCCGACUGGGUGAAGAUCAAUGUACGGCAGACUAAAGAUUGUUUUGAAGUCUAUGCGCUAGUUCCUGGGCUUCUACGUGAGGAGGUGCAUGUUCAGUCCGAUCCUGCCGGUCGUCUGGUUAUCACGGGGGAUCCGGAGCAGCCUGAUAAUCCUUGGGGGAUCACUCCAUUCAAGAAGGUGGUUAACUUGCCAUCGAGAAUUGAUCCUCACCAAACAUCAGCUGUCGUCACGCUUCAUGGUCAGCUAUUUGUGCGUGCACCAUUUGGGCAUGCUGAAAUGUAGAUACGGUAUCUUGUUUACUUCAGUUCCCUUCGAAUGUGGUACCUCUUUGCCAGUGAUAUUCCUUGAGAUUUCUAGGGUUUAUAGCAGUUCUAUUGAGGAAAUAGGAUCUCAUCUGAGCAGAUACAUGAUGCCAAGCUGACAUAGUAGAACCUCUGCAGCUGGAGUCCGGUGUUGAUCUGUUAUCAUCAUGUUUAUUAUUACAGUAUUAUUAGUCAUAAAACUAGCUGGUUCAUGCGUGUAUUUUAAAUUUUAUGGUGAGAUUUUUUUGGAUAGAAAGGAGAGAAGACGGUGGCGAUAGGGCUAAGUUAACAUUAUAGCUACUUGUUAUUCUU